AUACUAUAUGGAACGUAACAUUUUAUGGUGUGUCUCAGUUUACUUACAGAAUAAUACGAAAUCCUCUGAGACCAGGUUGGUCGAAACAGAUCUCAUUUGGCAGUUCCCACAUUCCCAUUCCGAAAAGGCCUUUUCACGCUGCAUUGUUCUUAUCCCAGGCUAUCUUAGCCCCAGGUUAAGACUGGCCCUGGGGUAGCUUAUCCUCUGUUCACACAGGCAUUUGUUCUGUCACACAACACAAUGCCACGGAUGUCUCAUGUUUUGAGGGAACAUGCAAUUGGCAUGCUGACCGCAGCAAUGUCCAAUAGAGCUGUUGCCAGAUAAUUUAAUGUUCAUUUCUGUACCAUAAGCCGCCUCCAAAGUCAUUUUAGAGAAUUUUGCACUACGUCAAACCCGGCUUCACAACCGCAGACCACAUGUAACCACGCUAGCCCGGACCUCCAGAUCUGGCACCAGCGGGAUCGUCUGAGUCCACCCAUCGGGCAACUGAUGAAGAUGUGGAUUUUCACAACUAAAGAAUUUCUGCACAAACUGUCAGAAACCGUCUCAGAGAAGCUCAUCUGCAUGCUCGUUGUCAUCACCAGGGUCUGCUCACCUUCAAUGACUGGCACACGGGAGAAGUGUUCUCUUCACUGAUGAAUCCUGCAAGGAUCUGUACACAAUUCAUGUAAGCUGAAAAUGUCCCAGUUCUUCCAUGGCCUGCAUACUCACCAGACAUGCCACCCAUUGAGCAUGUUUGGGAUGCUCUGGGUUGCCGUGUACGACAGCGUGUUUCAGUUCCCGCCAACAUCCAGAGGCUUUUUUUCACGCCCCCUAUAGAAAACGUCCUCCCACGACAAGGAAUGUAUGACGAUAUCCGGUUAUCGAGUUUACCUAGUCACUGCUCAAUUUGCCAUGAGUGAUGUGGCUAAUAUCGUUUACGAACAUUCCCAGGUGAAGAGAUCUAAACUUGAUAAGGAUACAAGUUCUUCCACAAACAAUAUAUAUUCAACUAUCAAUCAACCGCAUCAGACGCCAUGUUGGAAGACCAAAGUCAGUCUGUUGGAAGCCCUUCAACUGUUCACAUGGCUGGCUGGGUUGUGCUACCACUGGAAACAUUGA
rnacentral:lncRNA from 1 species